ACUGUCUGGUUUGUCAGAGGAAGCACGUGAGAUGUGCCACAUUUUGCCUCAGAUGCCUGAGCUUAGCUAUGUUUCUCUUGGCAAUGAGCUUACAUUUUUCAGGAGCAUGGACCAUCAGUAAUUGCCAGACUCUUAACACCUGGUACGAGGACUGGCACUUCUGGAAAUCACAGAAACAGGAUAUGUGGACAGUGGCACAUGAGUAGCUUAGGAGUUUAUGCAGGUAACUGGAGGCAGGAGAAGCACCUGGGGGACUGCAUCUUGCUCUUGUGGUAAAUGUACACUGGACUAUGACUUGAACAGACUGUGUUUCAAAUAUAUUCUAAUAUAUAGUAACUCUUCAUUGUGAACCAAGAGCACGAGAACUCAUUACACUCAUGGCCAUGGGCUUUGUCUUGGACUUUGAGGACAGCUGCUUCGGUGAGCAGAAGUUCUACAUGUUGUGAAUGUGGGGGACACACAUCACUGGAAUCAAUCACCCCAGACCACAACUUGCUGGAUGAGAUGUGAGUCAAAUCUCAUGGCCAAGGAACUGCCUCAGUUUGAGUGCCUUUGCCCACCUGUGUUUUUCAAGCCUCAUCACACACAGGAAGCUUCAGCUGCACUCCUUUCAUUUACAUUGAAUUUCAACUGAUCCCUCAUGAGAAAAGGAUCCUACAAUACUCACUAUUUUAGGCCUUCUUCAGAAUGGAAACAUUCCCAUAUUAAGUACUGGAGAAUCACAAGGAAUUGUGUGAGGACAAAUCUAACUUCCAUAUCAAGACUCGAAUUUCUUAUUUCAGUGACAGCACUCCAGACUUUGCAAGAACGAAGUUUGUCUUUUAUCACUUACUGUGUUUUGAGAAGAGUGAGAGAGGUUGGUUUACUAUUUUUUUGUUUGUUCGUUUGUUUGUCUUUGGGCAUUUAAUAAAAACUUCUUCAACU
ensembl:lncRNA